AAUUCUCAACUUCAAUAGUUUUUUAAUAACUUGUUGAAGCUUGGAUGUGGAGGUUUGCUGGCGUCUUUUAAGAUGUUUUCGGCUCCUCUUAAAUGCAUUAGUAGGAACCCGUUUUGUUGGCUUCUAAAGUGUGAUAAUUAUCUACGCUUUGGUUAGUUCAACGGCUCUGACUUCAGAAUGCUGAGGUGUUCUGGACUUGGGUGUUGCACUUUUGUGCUUACCUUGUUUUAUUAGAGUGGGACUCUGCUUUCCAACCGUCUGCAUAUAUGCGGACAAUUUUUGACA
rnacentral:misc_RNA from 1 species